rnacentral:tRNA from 1 species
GCCUGGGUGGCUUAGUCGGUUGAGCUUCUGACUUUGGCUCAGGUCAUGAUCUCUUAGGCCGUGAGUUCAAGCCCCGCAUCUGGCU